GGUUGUGUGGGGUAGUGGUUAUCCCUUCGGAUUUUGAAGUCAUAUUUGUUAAUCAGUUAACUAAUAACUGAAUAUAUAAAAGUGUUUAUCUUCCGACAACCCCGGUUCGAAUCCGGGCACGACCU